UGCAUUAAUAAGCAUUAUAAACAUGAUUAUACAUAUUUAUUAAUUGGGAAACACUUUCAAUGAAUAUGAUGUCAAUUAGACUCUAUGAACAUAUUCAUAACACAUUAUUAUUUUUCAUAAAGCAUUUUAAACAUUGUUAUACAUAUUUAAAAAAAUCUAGAACUAUUAUGCAUUAUGAAUUGUUAUUAUAGUGCAUCAUCAGCUUUAUUUAAAAGAUUUUUUUUGUGUCAAUACCAAGAACCUCAACAAAGCUGCCUUAUUAAAGCAUUAAUUAGCUUUAAUUACUUAACCUAAGCUUUAAUUAAUUAGCUUUAAUUAAUUAAGAUUUAAUUACUUUUAAUCACUCAUUAAUUAUGCUUAUAUUAAAUAUUAUAAAAAACUUUAAUUUAUUUUAUAAUUAUAAUAUGUCGUUGUACACUAUAAGUCAAUUUACAGAUGAAUAAUAUAAGAAUAUAUUAAUAUUGACAGAUAUAUGGGAGUUUAACCCAGAUGUGCAACGUAUACUAACGUAUACUAAGUCCAGCUUAUGAUGCCUUACAGUCACAAUGCAUAAUGCAUAAUUAACAUGACUAAAAUGUGUCACACAUGUUUAUAAAUAUGUAUAAUAUGUUGUGAAUAUGUCUAUAGAGUUUAGUAGACAUGACAUUCAAGUGACAUUCAGGGGAAAUUCUAUAUUUAAAUUGUUUUAUUGUGCUUAAAUUAUUAGUAUUUAUUUUUGGCCCAAAUUAACCAUGAUAUAUUGGUUCUUCCACUCAAAAUUGUGUAUGCCCAAAACACCAAAUUUUACAGUCUAAGGAACAUCAUCCGUUCAUUACACAUACUCAAAACCCAUUCAUAAUGCAUUCAUAAGGUGUUAUAAGCAUGGCUAUAAAUAAAAAUGUGUAGAACAUAAUGUCUGUUAUGCAUUAUAAAUUCUGUAAGUAUUUACAGCCAUGUUUAUAUUGCAUUAUAACAUGUUAUGUCUAUGUUUAUAGAGUCUAAUAGACUUGACAAUUAAUUAUAAAGAAACAGCUAAAAUAAUCAAGUAAACUAUCAAUAUUCUAAUGUGAUAUUUCAAAAUUCCAAUACUCCCAAUGAUUUAAACCAAACUUACCACACAAACCUGCAGAUUCACAUAUAUAAUACAAUCACUCACACAAUAUGUGGCAAUCAGUGGUGAACUAUUAGAGCUGGGCCUUUAGAUUAGUCUGUAAAUGUCAAGCACAAAAUACAAUAUCAUUAAAUUACACUAUAUCUCUCAUAGGAACUGUAAUCAUACGUAUAGAGAGCAUGUAAAAAGCCAUUUAACACAGAAUGUAGUGCAAACCGGGCCAACUGUGACACUGUAUCCACAUGCUAAUCUGCUCUGCUAUGAAUCUGCAGAACUAAACUGAACUGAUGCACUUAGAAAGAAAGAGGUUGAGUGUACAUCCCGCCCACAGAGCACACUGCUAGGUCUACUGAGCACACUAUUACAGACCAAUCAGGACAUAAAUCCCACCCACAAAGCACACUGAUAGGUCUACUAAGCACACAGACAGACCAAUCAAAAUUUAAAUCUUGCCCACAGAGCAUACUGAUAGGUCUAUUGAGCUCUACAAUUGAGCUGAAAAGAACUAAACUGAACUGAUGCACUAGGAAAGAAAGAGGUUGAGUGUAAACCCCACCCACAGAGCACACUGAUAGGUCUACUGAGUCCACAGAGAGGCCAAUUAGGACAUAAAUCCCACCCACAAAGCACACUGAUAGGUCUACUGAGCUCUACAAUAGAGCUGGAGAACCAAACUGAACUGAUGCACUAUAAAAGAAAGGGGUUGAGUGUAAAUCCUGCCCAUAGAAAAAAAUUAUAUAUGUCUACUGAGCACAAACACAGCCCAAUCGGGACAUAAAUCCCACCCACAAAGCAUUCAGACAGACCAAUCAGAAAUUUAAUCUCGCCCACAGAGCAUACUGAUGGGUCUACUGGACACAAAUACAGACCAAUUUGGAUGUAAACCCCACCCACAGUGAGCAGUGAUAUGUCUACUGAGCUGAAGAACGAAACUGAAUUGAUAAGAUAGGAUAUAAGAUAGAAAGAAGUUGAGGAUAGAAAGAUGGAAAGAGGAAAGAAAGAUAGAAAGAGGUUGAAAACCAAGAGCAAACUAAUAGGUCUACUGGGCCCAAACACAGACCAAUUAGGACAUUAAUCCCACCCACAGAGAACACAGGAUAGGUCUACUGAGCACAAAAAGAGACCAAUCAGAAUUUACCUUUUUCCCAUAGAGCAUACUGAUGGGUCUACAGGGCACAAACACAGACCAAUCUGUAUGUAAACCCCACCGACAGAGAGCAAUGAUGGGUCUCUGGAGCUCUACAAUGGAACUGGAGAACCAAACUGAACUGAUACACUAUGAAAGAAAGAGGUUGAGUGUAAAUCCCGCCCACAGAGCAUAAUGAUAGGUCUACUGAGCACACAGACACACCUUAAAUCCAGUGGUUUGUCAUUAUUUAUUUAAGAUGAGUACUGAAGUCAUCCAAACUAUGAAGAAAAAACAUACCAGAAUAUGUUUUAUAUUGUAGAUUCUUCAAAGUAGCACAUUUUGCUUAGACAACAGCUUUAUGAGGUAGAGUCACCUGGAAUUUCAGGCUUUCAGUUAACAGCUGUGCUGAACUCAUCAAGAGUUAAUGUUUUUGAGAGCAUCUGUUGUAAAGUUGUGAAGAGGUAGAGUUACAGGUAUACAGUGAAUAGCUUUAUUUGAGUAAUAUUCUAAAACAUAUUAUGGCAAGAACGACUCAACUAAAUAAGAAAAAAAAAACUUAAAAUAGAGGAAAUGAAGAUCCGUCAAUUUGAACAAUUUGAAGAACUUUGAAAGCAUCCUCAAGUGCAGUCAUUGCAAAGACCAUAAAAAACGUUAGGAUGAAACUGGCACUCAUCAGGACUGCCCCAGGGCACAGAAGAGCAAGAUUUACACAGGAUAAGUUAAACAUAUUUUACACGUUGUUAACAUAUUUUGGUUUGUUAACACUUUUAAUUUAAUACAUGAUUCCUUUUGUGCUCUUUCAUAGUAUGUAUGACUUUAAUAAUCAUGUCACGAUUGGACAAUUGGACAUUUUUUGGUAAGUCCUGAUGGUUCACCACUGUCGCCCACAGACUCACACUACUCACUAACUCACACAAACACACACAAUCACACACUCAAUCACAGACAGAUCUCCCGCUCAUACUGUACUGUAUGUCUUCAUCCAGGUUCUCAUUCAUGUCCAGUGGCUACAUUCUGCCUCCUCCUGCUGUCCAAGGCAGAGAGCGAGAAAAUGAAAUGAAACGAAAGACAGAAAGAGAAAGAAAAAGGGAGAGAGAGAGAGAGAGAGAGAGAGAUUAAGAGUAUGUAUAGAAAGAGAAAGAGAAAGAUGGUGGCCAUGUCCUGUAUUCCUGUAUUGCAGCGGUGCCUUAUUUCUGAACAUGUACCAAUGGAGGAUGCUGCUACAUGUUAUCUCAUACAAAUGGUUUCCUUCUAUCACUGUCUCUUCUAUCAUGGUCAUCUGCUCAUCCUCUCGGCUGUGGGAUCACAUGACCUUUUGCUUUCGUUCGUUUGUUUGUUUGUUUGUUUGUUUGUCUGUCUGUUUUUAAGGGUUAUUUUUUUUAAUAUGUGAUGCCAAGGCGGUGAGAGGCCGGUGGAUAUCUGACUGACUGUUUUUAGGGUCUUUCUUUUUUUUCCCUUUUUUUAUUUUCUUUUCUUCGUUUUGUUCGUUCAUUAUUUUUUUUUAUAUUUCAUAAAGCGAAUCGCGAAUCACGCCAACAAACGAUGACGACGGACAGUGAACGUGUUCAUGUGUGUGUUGGCGACUUUCAAAGACUUUUUGCACAGAAGACACGAGAUAUACAUUACGUACGGACGAAAUACGGAACAAAAAAAAAAUGUAAAUCUAGUCUGUACGACAAACGAGAAAUAAUAACAAACAAA